GUGAGUUUUUUCUAUUCUUCGAGUUCUUCACUUCUUCUUCUCUGUCGUUGCUUUUUGUUUUCUCUUCUUCGACGUGGUCUUUUAUUUUUCUUCGAUCUACCAGAACAUGUCAGCUGAUUUAUUCUCUUCUUCGAUGCUUGAUUUCUUCUUCUUCUUUCUAAUUAGAUUUCUACUUUUCACGAAGCAAUCUCAGAUUUGUGCAUCGUAGGAAGAGAUGCUUCAAUGUAUAUUUCUCCUCUCCGAUUCUGGUUAUGUUGUUGCAGAGGUUUUACGAGCUUGUUUAUGGUCAGAUCACUUUUGAUGGAGUUGAGAUCAAGACAUUUCAAGUGAUAUGGUUUAGAAAAUAAAGCGGAUUGGUGAGUUGAGAAUCUGUUUUGUUCAAUGAAACGAUCAGAUCAAACAUUACUUAUGGUAAAGGAGGAGAUGCUACUGAAAUCAAAUCGUAUUUGCAGCUGACCUAUCUUACGCUCAUGGCUUCAUUGUGGCCUACAAUAGGUAACUUAAACUGGAAUAAUCGAACCUAAUAAACAGAUUGUCUAGCCCUAAUUCCUAAGUCCAUGGUUUCAGAUUAGACUGAAAGAUUUAAGUUAAAUAUACAUUGAUAAAGCAUAGAGUAUUUAGAAUUGUUUAUUUUAGAGUUGAUGAAGCUACAGUUUUUGAAGCUACAUACAAAGGCAAAAGGUAACGUACACAUUCCUGGCAGAUGAAGCUACAGUUUUUGAAUAGAUGCAGCUUCAUUGAUUUUAAUGGUUUGCAGGAAGAACAAGAAGCGGCACUAAAACAACUUAGAAAGAAUCUAAAGUUCAAGGCUAAACCCGUCCCCAACUUCUACUACGAAGCGCCUCCUGCAAAACCUGAGCUCAAGAAGCAACCUCUGACGCGUCCCAAGUCGCCAAAACUGAUCCUUUCUCGGAGAAAAAGCUUCAGCGACGCAAUCACCUCAUCUUCCCGUGAAGAGGUUCUGAAGACAGUCUCUAACAGGAACCAACACAGCACCGGAACAGUUCAGAACAAAGACGAGCGACUGAGGUCUAUGAUACAAUGGUUGGUGAAAGAGGAGUUCAAUUAUAAGAUGGGCAAAAAGCAUAGAGUAGCCAUAGCUAGAGCAAUCGAUAAAGACAAUGGUAAAAUGGAAAAUCUGAAACCUGUUUGUAAAUUCUUCAGAGUCUAUCCAUAUGUUUCUCUCUCCCUGCCUCCUCUGUUUUGCUUUUAAACGAAGGAUCCCACACAAAAGCUCUAGAAAUGGUGGAAAUAGUGAUCUCCUAUGUAUCAUACAAAUGCAGCAAGAGAUGAUUGUAUAAC